CCGUGGUGGGCCAGGCAGGAGGAAGCGAGGGGCUGGGAGGGACUGUGGGCUGAGUCAUGAGGAACAGUGGCAGUUCGGCAGCUUGGAGGGGACUCAGAACCUGGCUCUGGAGCCAGGCCUGUGCUACAGCCAAGUUGCUCUAAUUAAAUUUCUCCCAAAUAUACCAUUAGUUGCCCAUGCAGGUGGAUAAGCCAUUUUUGACUCUGCUAAACAUUUGUUUGAGGUCCCCUGACUGAUUCAAAAUGUUGUGAAACAGAGGGGUUUGGCCCUUUGGGAAGCUGGUUUGUGAUAGCCACUGCUGGUCGCCCACCCAGCAGACAAGAUCCCUUCUUCUGGUGGGGAGGCUCAGGGAAGGGAGGCCACACAUGAUGUCAAAGCUGACUGUGGAAGCCCAUUGUUCCCUUUUGCCAGUGAUUGGCUUAAAUGUAUGCUUGUGACCAAUUUCAGCCAAUAAUCCAUAAAAAGAUGUCAGCUAGAAGGAGUUUACCGGGAAGAUUUUACUUCCUGGUAAAAAGAGAGCUAUAUGCUGGGAGAUGAGCCCUCCCUUCCUGCUUUUGGAUAUUAUGGUGUGAGCGUGUGAUGUGGCAGCCACUUUGCAACCAUUAGGAAAAACAUGGCUGACAGGCUGAGAAUAGCAGAGUGGAGUGAGGAGCAAAAACUGGGCCCAAGAUAAUGUACUAAACUUCUGGACCUGCCCUGGAUGUAUUCAACCUCCCGAGAGCUUGUUAAGCAAGACUGUGACCUUAAACCAGCCACUUCAAUGUCUUCAUCUGUGAGAUGCAUAACAGCAGCGCCUACCUCAUAGGUUGCUAUGAGAAUAAAAGUGAGUUCUCUGCAAAACCCUCAGAAAUACGUGAGGCUGGUGUUAAAUAAACAGAAGUAAUAAAAAGCUCCUGUUGGUUAAGCCACUUUGAGUGGCUUUUCUGUUACUUGCAGCCAGAAGCAUCGUGGCUGAUAAUCAGGUGGUGAAGAAUGAAUGAACGCCUUCAGCAGAAGGCAGCGGGAGGAGCCUGGGUCAGGGCUGGGUGGAUGUGAGGACUCUGGAAGGACCUGGAGCCUCCAGGAAGAUGGCCUGAUGUGCUGUCUGACAUGGAGGGGCCAGCUGGGGUCUACAGGGGCUGGGUGGUCAGGGGAUAUCCACCCCUUGUCUCCACCAGUUGCAUUCCAGCACACAGUCUUGGCUCAAAGGGCUAAACACAUGCCUGCUACAGAGGGGAUUUGAACCCUGGGCAGUGUUUUAGUGAACCCCAAGUUUCGCUUCAAAGAAUCAGUAUGUCAGUAUGUUCAGCUCUCUUAUUCUUUAAUUCUCUAUUUUAAAGUUUCACUUCCUUGUAAUUCCAGUAAAGAAUUUUCUCCACCUGUUCCAAUCAGCAGUUCACAUCUGCUCCUCCUCCCCCGGCUCCAUCCUGACUCAUCCCAGUCACCUGAUCACCCCUGAACACCUGCUCUGACCUGCCCGGAACCGACCUUCCCGCCAAAACAGCCACCCUGCCACUCCAGCUCGGACCAAUCGAGAUUAGUCUAGCUUGUGUGGUCUAACCCUGGCCAAUAGGGGACAACACAGCAAGUAGGGAUGACCCUCCGCCUGGCAUAAGAACCUUUUCCCCACUUGUCCAAGCAUGGGACCGCCGUUGUUCAUCCUUACGGCUGCAUCCUUCAUAAGGAUAAACUAGCAGUAAACUGCCCGGCUGAGAGGACUUAUCUUCUUCAAGUGCUAUUUCUUUUGCAGCGUCAAAAUUGUACUUAUAACAACAGGAUGGCCUUUCAGGUUCACAGUUGUGGCAAGAGGAUUUGACUCUGUGUGCCUCAGUCUCACCUCCAAACCACUGCAGAGCCAUUUCCUUUUCUUUUUUUUAAGAGACAAGAGUCUGAGCAACAUAGCAAGAUCCCCAUCUCUCCAAAAAAAAAAAUAGCCAAGCGUGAGUGCGUCGGUGCAUGCCAGUAGUCCCACCUACUCUGGAGGCUGAGGUGAGAGGAUUUCCUUGAACCCAGGAAGUUGAGGUGGCAGUGAGCUGUAACUGUGCCACUGUACUCCAGCCUGGGUGACAGAGAGAGACUUGUCUUGAAAAAAGAAAAGAGAGAGACAAGUUCUUGCUCCAUUACCCAGGCUAGAGUGCAGUGGCACAAUUAUGGCUCACUGUAGCCUCGAACUCCUGAGAUCAAGUAAUUCUCCCACCUCAGCCUCCCAAGUAGCUGGGUCUACAGGUGGCAACAACAUGUCAGGCUACUUUUUAAAACAUUUUUUGUAGAUACAGGAUCUUGCUGUGUUGCCCUGGGCUAGUCUUCAACUCCUGGCCUCAAGCAAUUUUCUUGCCUCAAACUCCCAAAGUGCUGAAAUUACAGGCCGUGAGCCACCAUGCCUGAACAAAAAGCAAAUUCUCCAACUAGAUAUGCCUUCCCCUACUCCUGCUGAAAAGAUCUGUGAAAGUGGGAAACUAGGUAAAAAACUCACCUCCUCCAGGAAGCUGACCUUGAUAAGUGCUCCACACUGAAUUGUGUUUUCUUUCCUUUUCUCUGACUCUGAAGGUUGGGAUGACAGGAUUUGCUCACAAGGCAAGGUAGGGUGUGCCAUAUGGUCCCAAGAUUCCCUUCCAGCCCAGACUCACUGCAUUCACAGGGUGCCAGGGAACACUCACUUCUGAGCCUCAUAGAAGGCUCUCUCAGAGCCCCCACUCUUCACAGCCCAGCCCCUAUAUCAGGAGGAGAGGGUCGGGCUAGCUGCUUGGUGGAACUCCAGCCCUGGCUGACCCCAGCUCUUUCUCCAAGCUUCACCUGCUGCAGAGGCACAGUCAGGUGGUGAGCUGUCACCACUAAGGGUUCUAGGUCACCAGCCUCAGCUAGCCUCAAUCUGAUCAAAAAUCUACCUGCUUUUCUCUGCCUCUCUCACUCUACAAUGAACAGGUCUGAAAUGUCUUGGAUUUUGUCCCAGCCCAGAUCUCAUGUUGAAUUGGAAUCCCCAGUGUUGGAGAAGGGGCCUGGUGGGAGGUGACUGGCUCAUGGGGGAGGAUUUCCCCUCGCUGUUCUCUUGAUAGUGAGUGAGUUCUCACAAGAUCUGCUUGUUUAAAGGGUGUGUAGCACCUCUCCCUCACUCUCUUCCUCCUGUUCCGGCCAUGUUAGACGUGCCUGCUUCCCCUCACCUUCUGCCAUGAUUCUAUGUUUCCUGAGGCCUCCCUAGCCAUGCUUCCUGUACAGCCUGCAGAACCAUGAGCCAACUAAACCUCCUUUCUUUGUAAAUUCCCAGUCUCUGGUAUUCCUUUACAGCAGUGCGAGAACAGACUAAUACAAGGUCCAUCCUGCAUACCUUCUGCCCUCUGCCCCUUGACCUCUCCACGCCUCUCCGCAUCCUCAGCAGAGCACCUCCCUCCUUCCACCCAGAGCCAGAGAAGCCAGUAGAAGAGAAUCCCCUCAGCUUCCCGACUGUAACAGAUGAUCUGUGUGUCCUCAUUCCAUCAGCCCUUCUUGGAUUUCAACUGCAGCUGUGCAGACUGUUCUCCUCCUCCAGACUGAAGCAUCCCACUCCAGCCUGCCACUCUCUCUGCUGGCAGGAGGGCAGGAGUGGGACUCAUGCAUCCUGCAGACACAACAGACCCAAGUGGGAGCCAGUACCCCUCCUGUCUUCCUUGGAUGAGGGAAUGGGUAGAUAAAUGUCCUUCUAAAGGACAACUCUGAGGUGUCUCAGAGGGUUCCAGUGGGAUUGAGCCCCAGUUGCCCAUAGCAGCAGCAAUUCCAUUUCCCUCUAACUUCUGGAACUAAUCUUCCCUAUCUCUCCAGAGUAUUUGGCACUACUGUCCAGUCCCUACAUUUGUUCCACCUCCCAAUGCUCUGCUGGCUUCCCUCUUCCCACUUGGAACAUCUCUUCUCAGCCUUCUCUGCCAGACCCUCCUCCUGGUGUGGCUACUAUGUGUUGAUGCUUCUCAGGGAGGGUCCUGUGUUCAUGUGUUCUCACAUGGUGUACUCUCUUCCUAGGAGUCUGCCCUUGCUGGUAGCUUCAGGACAUCUGCAUUUGUGAGUGUCCAAGCCAGACCACUCCCUGAAGCAAACACCCAGAUAUCCAGCCACCUGGCGUUCACCUCCACUUGGGUAUCUCCAAGGUACCACAGAAUUAGUACAUCAAAACUUCCCACUACUGCCUUUACCCACUCCUCCUGUGUUCUCCAUCUCAGCAGGGGUACCAGUCUCUGUCCAAAUAGGGCACAAGUCAUACACCACUAUGGGAUCCACCUAUACUCUUCUCUUUCUCAUCCCAAUGUCCCAUCUACACCAAAUCCUCUAGAUUUGGCUUCCGAAAUCUUUCCUGCACUUGUCCCUAUCUUAUUACCACCGAGCUUUGUCUAGCCAUCUUCACUCAAAAUAGCAACCUAACUGGGAUUACCAGAUAAAAUACAAGAGGUCCAGUUAAAUUUGAAUUUCCAAUAAACAAUGCUUUUUUUAAGUGAGUAUGUUCCAACUGUGACACAGUUUUACACUAAGCAAGUAUCCAGGACUUAUCUGAAAUUUAAAUCUAACUGGGCAUCUAUUUUUAAAUCUCUUUUUUAGAUAAAAUUCCAUGAAAUUCCUAAAAUAUUUCAAGGACCAUCUGUAUUUUUAUUCGCUAAAUCUGGUAUUCUUGAUCCUAAUUAAUCUCUCUUCAUCACAUUAUAGCCUGAUGACCUUGUUCAAACAAAAUUUGCUAAGUAGAUAUGAUUAAAUUUAGUAAGUACAUUGCAAUCACUAGAUCCAUCACUUUUAAAAAGUAUACAAGGAGAUGCUGUUUGUAAAAAACUUAAUAAGUAAAUUAAAAUAAAAUACAAAAAAUAAUCAACGCAAAAGAAAACAGAAAGGAGAAAAUGGACUAAUAACAGAAGGCAGAAGUAGAAAUCAAAUGAUGAAAGCUCAGAGUUCAAAAAGAUCAAUAAUUACAUUAAAUGUAAAUGAUCUAAACACAUCAAUUAAAAAUCAGGGAUUAUCAGAAUUAAAAAAUAAACACAACCCGACAAUAUGCUGUAUAACGAUAUCAACAGGAUAAUAAUAAAAAAAUGCCUUGCAAAUGUAAAUUUUUUUAAAAAGCUAGAAUGGCAAUUUUAAUAUCAGACAAGUUAGAUUUCAGAGUAAGAAAAAUUACCAGGGAUAAAGAGGGGCAUUUCACAAUGAUAAAAGGAUCAAGUCACCAAGGAGACAUAACACUCUUAAAUGAGAAUGCACUUAACCACAGAGCUUCAAAAUGCCUGAAGUAAAAACUGAUAGAAUUGAAUAGGGGAAAAGACCAAAUCUGCAAUUAUAGUUGGAGAUUUCAAUUAUAGUUAGAUAUUUCAAUACUCUUCUUUCAGUAAUUGGUAGGACAAGUAUUCAGAUUAGCAAGUCUGUGGAAGAACUGAGCAACUCUAUAACAAACUGGAUCUAAUUAGCAUUACAGAAUGCGUCCCCCAUCAACAGCUGAAUACACCUUCUUUUCAAGUGCACACAGAGCACUCUAAAAAUUGAAGUCAUACAAAGUAUAUCCUCUAACCGUAAUGGAAUUAAAUUAAAAGUCAAUAGCGGCCGUGUGCGGUGGCUCACGCCUAAAAUCCAAGCACUUUGGGAGGCUGAGGCAGGUGGAUCACGAGCUCAAGAGAUCAAGACCAUCCUGGUCAACAAGGUGAAACCCCGUCUCUACUAAAAAUACAAAAAUUAGCUGGGCAUGGUGGCGCGCGCCUGUAGUCCCAGCUACUGGAAAGGCUGAGGCAGGAGAAUUGCUUGAACCCAGAAGGCGGAGGUUGCGGUGAGUCAAGAUCAUGCCAUUGCACUCCAGUCUGGGUAACAACAGCAAAACUCCAUCUCAAAAAAAAAAAAAAGUCAAUAGCAAAAAUAUAACUGGUGAAUCUACAAAUAAGAGAAAUAAAACAACACACUUAUCAAUAAUCCAUGGUCCAGAGGAAGUCUCAAGGAAUAUUAGAAGAUAUUUAAACUGAACAAAGAUCAAAGUACAACAUACUGAAAUGUGUGAGAUGCAGCUAAUGCAAUGCUUAAAGAGCAUUUAUAACAUUAAAUCAUUUACAUUAGAAAAAAAGAGAGGUCUUAACAUAUCAAUCCAAGUUCCAUCUUGAGAAACUACAAAACUAGAAAAAAAAGAGCAAAAUAAAGCCAAAGCAUGAAGAAAGGAAUUAAGAGCAGAAAGCAAUAAAAUUGAUUAAUCUGUAGCCAAAUUGGCAAAGGAAAAAUGACACAAAUUACCAAUAUUAGGAGAAAAUUGAUAUAUCACUACAGACUCUGCCAUUAGAAGGAUAAUGAGAGAACACUAUCACCAACUCCACACAUAUAAAUUCAACAACUUACAUAAAAUGGACCAAUUCCUUGAAAGCCAAAAACUACCAAAACUCACACAAGAAGAAGCAGAUAAGCUGAAGGGUACUGUGUCUAUUCAAGAAAUUAACUUUGUAAUUAAAACCUUCCAAAAAAGAUCUCCUAGCCCAGUUAGCUUCACUAGCAUAUAUAUAAUUAUUUUUUGAGACACAGUCUUGCUCUGUUGCCCAGUCUGGACUGCAGUGGUGCAAUCACAGCUCACUGCAGCCUCAACCAUCCAGACUCAAGUUAUUCUCCCACUUCCGUAGUAGCUACAACUACAGGCAUGUGCUACCAUGUCAGGGUAACUUCUUUUAUUUUUAAUAGAGACAGGGUCUCACUAUGUUUCCCAGGCUGGUCUUAAACUCCUGGGCUCAAGUGAUCCUACUACCUUGGCCUCCCAAACUAUUGGGAUUACAGGCUUGAGCCACUGCACCCAACCAUUCACUAAUACAUUUAAAUCAAAUAUUUAAAGAAUAAACAAGGCCUGGUGUGGUGGCUCACGCCUGUAAUCCCAGCUUGGGAGGUUGAGGCAGGUGGAUCACGAGGUCAGGAGAUCAAGAUCAUCCUGGCUUACAUGGUGAAACCCCAUCUCUACUAAAAAUACAAAAAAUUAGCCAGGCAUGGUGGUGUGCACCUGUAACCCCAGCUACUCAGGAUGCUGAGGCAGGAGAAUCACUUGAACAGGAGGCAGAGGUUGCAGUGAGCUGAGAUCAUGCCACUGAUCCAGCCUGGCAAGAGAGCAAGACUCUGUCACAAAAAAGAAGAAGAAACAACACCAAUCUCUUCCGGAAUACAGAAUAAGAGGGAACUUUUCCAAAUUUAUUUUAUGAAGCCACCAUUACUCUGGUACCAAAACCAGAAAGAAUAAAAAGAAAGGUCUUAACAUAGUAAUGCAAGUUCCAUCUUCAGAAAACUACAAAACUAGAAGAAAAAAAAAAAGGCAUAGAUAGUACAGUAAAAGCUAACUGCAGACCAAUAUCCUUCAUGAACACAGAAAAAUCCUCAGCAAAAUAUUAGCAGACAGAAUUUAGUAAUACAUAAAAUGAAUAAUACACCAUGACAGAGUGGAGUUUAUUCCACAAAUAUAGGCUGAUUCAAUAUUUGAAAUUCAAUCAAUGUAAUUCACCAUAUUAACAGACUAAGGAAGAAAUAUCACAUGAUCAUAUUGACUGAGGCAGAAGAAACACCUGACAAAUUUCAACAUCUCUUUAUAACAUCCAUUAAUAAUAAAAGCUGUCAAUAAAUUAAGAAUAAAAAGGAGCAUCCUUAAUCUGAUAAAGGGCACCUACCAAAAGAAAAAACCUACAACGAACAUCAUACUUAAUAGUGAAGGACUGAAUGCAUUUCUCUAAGAUCAGGAACAAGACAAGGAGAUCCACUCUCAUCUCUCCCAUUACACAUGGCACAGGAAGUCCCAGCCAGUGCAACAAGAGUCUCAAGGAAUGAGAGUCUCAAGGUACAGGAAGUCCUAACCAGUGCAAUGAGGCAAGAAAAAGAAAUAAGAGGUGUUGGAAACAGAUGCUUGGUGCCACACAAAAAAACAAAUAAAUAAAUUAGCACUGAGACAAAAGAUCUCUCAGCAAGGCAAUUUUACUUUCUGCAGAAAGGGUGCUCUUGUUAGCUAUAUUGCUACGAGAGAGUACAACAAAGAAAAAACAGACAUAUUUAUCCUUUAUGCAUUUGGAGUCAUCCUUACUGCUCUGUCUAAAUCUCCUUUGGUUGGAGCUAGACCUCACAGUCUAAAACUGAACUUGAUUGGCUAAUUACUUAAAACUUUCUUGAAUAGGUAAAGGCAAUGGAGAACAAAAGGAAAAGAGGAAGUCAAAUAAGGAAGGGACAGGAAGUUGCUUGCAAAAGGACUUAGGAAAGUAAUAGCAUAAAUAUUUUGGUUAAAGCACAAGGGCAUAGAAUAUAUUACCUGCCUGUGAGCAUGUCUAACAGCUGAUAGGGCAUAACAAGGAGUUAUUAGCAAAAAGCAAGAAGGCUUUGAAGAAAGUCUUUAAAACAAACUAUUAUAUCUAACACUUAUGAUUUAUUCUUUAACAAGAAAGGAAACUUUGAAGAGGAACUUUUCUACUUCCCACAAGAGGCAACACAGAUUGGAAAAGAAGAAAUAAAAUAAUCCCUGUUCACAGACAACAUGAUUGUCUAUGUAGAAAACAUGGACUCUACUUAAACAGCUCCUAGAAUGAGUAGAAAUUUAGCAAGGUUACAGAAUAUAAGGUUAAGACACAAAAGCAAUCCUAUUUCUACAUAUUAGCAAUGAAUACUCUGGAAACUAAAGUAUUUUAAAAAAUACCUUUUAUAAUUGUUCUCCCAAAAUGAAAUACAUAGGCAUUAAUAUAACAAAACUUAUACAAGAUUUGUAAAUGCUGAGCUAAGAAAUCCAAAACCUAAUAGAGACAUCUACCUGUUCGUGAAUUGAGAGACUCAAUGAAAUUCAAUGUCCUCUCAAAACUCAUCUACAGAGUUAACCCAAUACCAAUCAAAAUCUCAGUGGAAUUUUUUGGCAGAUAUAAGUAGGUUUGUGACUGGUGGAGGAUCUUAACUAUAUGUCCUCCAGGUUCUUAGCGUUUUGAACAAAGAAUUGGACAAAAUGCACAAACAAAGCAACAAAAGAAUGAAGCAACGAAAGCAUAGAUUUACUGAAACAAAAGUACACUCCACAAAGCAGGAGCCAGCAUGAGCCAGCAGCUCAAGAGCCCUUGGUUACAGAAUUUUCGAGGUUUAAAUACACUCUAAAGGUUUCCCGUUGGUUACUUGGUUGCAUCCCGUGUAAAUGGAGAAGUCUGAAUGGUUGUGAAAGACAACCAAUUAGAGGCUGAAGUUACAAAGUUACACCCUGUGCCAAUGUCUGAUUGCUUGUGGGAGGUAGUUUGCAUUUUUCGUCCGAGAUGCAGGGUUCUGGGGGCAGGUUGCAAAGGGAGUAGCCUCUGAUCAUUUUGUUACUUAGGGGUGAAGAAGGUGGGGUUUCCCUUUUCAUUCAGUCCUAGGAAGUCAGCCCAAAUCGGCCUUAGGUUCCCUGCCUCCAGACCCUAUUCUCCUGCCUCAAUUUGAUUCUAAAAUGUAUAUGGAAAGACAAGGAAACUAGAAUAACCAAAACAUUUUUGUAAAAGAAAAAAUUAAGCGAGGAGAGGUGUCUGGCACCUGUAAUCCAGCAUUUUAGGAGGCUGAGGUGGGAGGAUCGCUUGAGGUCAAGAAUUCGAGGCUAAGCUGGUUAACUGAGCAAGAUCCUGCCUCUCCAAAAAGUAAAAAUUAAAAAAAUAGCCAGUGCAGUGAUGCACCCCUGCAGUCCUAGCUACUCGGGAGGCUGAAGCUCAGGAUGCCUUGAGCCCAGGAGUGUGAAGCUGCAGUACACGAUGAUUGUGCCACUGCACUACGGUCUGGGCAACAAAGCAAGACUUUGUCUCAAAAAAAAAAUGGGGGGGCCAGGUGCAGUGACUCAUGCCUGUCAUCCCAGCACUUUGUGAGGCCAAGGUGGACAGAUCAUGAGGUGAAGAGAUCAAGACCAUUCUGGCCAACAUGGUGAAACCCCAUCUCUACUAAAAAUAUAAAAAUUAGCUGGGUGUGGCAGCGUGCUCCUACUCAGGAGCCUGAAGCAGGAAAAUUGCUUCAGAGGUUGCAGUAAGCUGAGAUUGAGCCAUUACACUCCAGCCUGGCAACAAAGCAAGACUCUGUCUUGAAAAAAAAAAAAAGUGAAACUGUAAACUUUUAGAAGAAAACACAUAAAUACAUGAGAAAAUCUUCACGGCCAGGUGCAGUGGCUCAUGCCUGCAAUCCCAGCACUUUGGGAGGCCCAGGUGUGUAACUCACUUGAGGUCAGGAGUUCAGGACCAGCCUGGUCAACAUGGUGAUACCCCAUCGCUACUAAAAAUACAAAAAUUAGCUGGGCAUGGUGGCGUGCACCUGUAGUCUCAGCUACUCAGGAGGCUGAGGCAGGAGAAUCAUUUGAACCCAGAAGACAGAGGUUGCAGUGAGCCGAGAUCCCGCCACUGCACUCCAGCCUGGGCAACAGAGUGAGACUCUAUUUCAAGAAAAAAAAAAAAAAAAUCUUCACAACCUGGAGUUUGGCAAAGACUUCUACGAUAUGACACAAAAAGCACAGUUUAUAUAAUAAAAAAUUAAUAAAGUUGAUUUCAUUAAAAUUGGAAAAUUUUAUUUUGUGAAAGGCACUAUGAAGACUGAGAAGACAAGCUACAGACUGGAAAGCUAAUAUUUGCAAAUCAUGUAUCUGACAAAGGACCUGUAUCAAGAAUAUGUAAAGCAUUCUCAAAAUUCAAUAAACAAACAACCCAAUUAUUUCAUGGGCAAAAGACUUUAGAUACUUCACUGAACAGGAUAUACAGAAUGCAACAGAAUAGAGAGCAGAUAACAUGAAAAUAACAAAACAUGGAAAGGUACUCUGUGUCAUUAGCCUUUAGGGAAAUGCAGAUUAAAACCACAACGAGAUACCAUGACAUAACUAUAAAACAAACCAUCUAAAACACACCUGAUGCGGGUCGGAUACAGUGCAACUGGAACGCUCAUGCACUGAUGGUGGGAAUGCAAAAUCACACAGCCACUCUGGAGAACAGUGUGGCAGUUUCUCAGAAAGUUAAAUAUGCAUGUAUCAUAUGACCCAGCAAUCCCAAUAAAAAGGGGCUACUGAGCCAUGCGACAACUUGAACAAAUCUCAGAGGCAUUAUGCUGAGUGACAGAAGCCAGUCUCAACAGGAUACAUGUUACAUGAUUCCAUUCAUGUGACAUUCUGGAAAAGGCAAAGCUGUAGCAACACAGAACAAGUGGUUGCCAGGGGUUAGGUGCUGGGGACAGUGGGUUACAAAGGAUGAGUUUUGGGGCUAGUGGAAUUGUCCCAUAUCCUGACUGAGGUAGUGGUUACAUGAAUCUAUACGUGUGUUAAAACUCACAGAAUUUCCAGCCUCACCUCCCCCUGCAGCCCCUCACUCUGCAUCCCAAACACAUUAGCCUUCUCCUGGCUCCGUGAAGGAACCUGCUGUCUCCCACCUCAGGGUCUUCACCCAUGCUGGGUCCCCUUCCCUGUAGCCUUUCCCUUCUGCUCCUCUGCAGCCAGCAUUUGUGAAUUUUAGAGAGAGAAGCCCUCGGACCUGUUUGCCCCAGGAGGUGGUGGGCAAUUGUCCGCCUUGCCCACCGCAUUCAGCCCUCCUCUCCUCUGCCCCUGAACUUGCCAUUGUCUUUCAAAACCUAGAUUAUAAAGUCAGCUAGUCGCAGUGGCUUAUGCCUGCAAUCCCAGCACUUUGGGAGGCCUAGGCAGGCAGAUCACUUGAGGUCAGGGGUCCGAGAGCAAUCUGACCAACAUGGUGAAACCCCGUCUCUACUAAAAAUACAAAAAUUAGCUGGGCAUAGUGGCGCAGUCCUGUAAUCCCAGCUAGUCAGGAGGCUGAGGUAGGAGAAUUGCUUGAACCUGGAGGCAGAGGUUGAAGUGAGCUGAGAUCGCGCCAUUGCACUCCAGCCUAGGCGACAGAGUGAGACUCUGUCUCAAAAUAAAAUAAAGUAAAAACCUAUUUUAUAAAGUAAACCUCAGAACACACAGGGAUGUGGUGGGCUGGCUAACGCAGAUACGAGUCCCCAGCAGGAACUGGCCUGGGAAUUCCUGGCCACCCCGGAACCUGCACUUCCAUAUGACCCCAAAGGCCUGGGUAGGGAAAGGAGGAUUGGGACUGCCAUUCGGCAGGCACCGCCCCUGUCCGCACUCCCCACUCCCACGCCCCAUCCUUCCCUCUCUCGGGUGGGCGGGUGAGUAGGCGCGGGGCCCAGAUCCGACGCCUGGGAACGGCGCCCGCGCGCGCCGCGUUUGUGCUGGAGCGCGAGGCCGAGCCCCCUCUUUAGAAGCAACUUGAAAACCUUUUCGUUUAUUCCUUUGUGAGGAAAAGGGAAAACAGGGCUGAUUUCUCAUCGGAUAAUUCGCCGGGGCUCCGGAGCGCACGGGAAAUGGCAGGCUUGAGGGCACCAGGCAAUUCGCUGAAUUUCAGGGCCGGUGGCGCGAUUGUUCGCGGAGCUGAACCCGGACAGCGCAGGCUGGGGAAGAGGAACGUGGGGAAGGCGCACCGCACCCACCUCCCCGCCCAGCCAGCCAGCUGGGUGCAGGGGGCCCGGGCUGGACGGGACAGGAUCCUGGGAGCUCCGCUUCUGCAGCGGUCCGGGAGAGGUGUCUCUGGUCUCUGAGCCCAGGCCAUUGGCGGUCAGGAUAGGGGCGCCUCCCUCCAAGGCUGCGCUUCCUCAUUCUGGCAGUCAUCACCCCUUCUCAGCCUUAAGGGUCUCCCACUCUAGCAGAAAUCACGCAGUUCCCCUUUCUCAGCUCUGGAGGCAGAGCCUCCGCCCGACCCCAAAGCAGCCUUCUGCACCAGCGGGGCAGCCGGACCACAAAGGCAGAAGCCCCUACCAGAGCCGCUGGCCACGAAGAUUUCCCCUCCACCGUGGGGUUUCCAGAAGGUUUCCAGCAAGGAGAAGGGGGUUCAACAGAGCCAUGGAGUGGGAUGUGCCGGAUGGAGGAGCCUUAUGCCAGAAGCCUGAUGGGCAGGUCUUGGGAAACCACCCCAGACUCAGCCCUGGGUCUCUGCAUCCUGGCCCUUGUACCCUCAAAACAUAUGCAGAACCCCAGGCUUUCUCACACCUCCACUGUCCCCACCCUCCCCCAGGACCCCCAUCCCACCUCCCCCUGGACAGUUGUAGCCUUCUCAUGGUCCCUGGUUUCCUCACCUGCCCUCUGCUCUCAGUUUCACCCCCAGAAGCCUCAGAAACCCUGGCAAAAUUGUUGCUGUCCUGCUCAGAGCCCUCCCUGCUGCCCACUUCUGGCGAGUGAAACAGUGUCCAUGAGGCCUGUGCCCCUCCUGCAUCACUGAUCCACUCUCCUGCUCCCUCCAGCACUGAACUUCCGCUUAGCCUCUGCAGCUCUGCAAACAGCUAACCUCACUCCUGCCCCAGGGCUUCUGCACUGGCUGUUCCCUCUGCCUGGAUGCUCUUCCCCCAGAUAGCCACAGGCUCCUUGCCUGCUUCAGGCCUCUGCUCAAAGGUCACCUUCUCACAGAGGCCCUCCUGACCACCCCAUCUAAAAAGCUUGCUCCCUUCCUGCCACCACCCUGCUCACAGCCCCACUUCCUGUCCCCAGCACUCACUGUCAUCUUAGCAUUUGUCUAACACCAGCCUCAUAAGAACAGGAUUUUUUUUUUUUUUUUUUUUGAGACAGUUGCCCAGGCUGGAGUGCAGUGGCGCAAUCACAGCUCACUGUAGCCUUGAUCUCUCCGGCUCAAGCAAUCCUCCCACUUCAGCCUCCUGAGUAACACUGGAACUACAAGUGUGUGCCACUACACCUGGCUAAUUUUUUCUGUGUUUUGUUUAUGUGGCCAAGGCUGGUCUGGAACUCCUGAUCUCAAGUGAUCCACCCGCCUCAGCCCCGCAAAGCGCUGGGGUUACAGACAUGAGCCACCACACCUGGCCAGGACAGCAUACUUGUGGUCACUGCUGUGUCCUCAGCACCUGUAGCACCUAGAGCAGUGCCUGACACGUGAUAGGUGCUUGUUAGAUGAACAUGGGAUCCCAGGUCGGGAUUCCCUUCUCACAGACAGCCCCUCUCACCAUCCUCAUCCUUAAGCCCCCACCAAGGAGCAGGAAUGGGAUCUGGAGGGCAGGUGGGAGGGAGCCCGAGGGUGAGCCACUGCCCUCAGACAAGCCCUUGUCUCAGGGUCUUGAGCCUCACCUCCUCGGUGUGUGCCUUACCCUCACCUGCUCUCUCCAGCUUGCCCUGGCUGCUCCUCUCCCCUGAGCUUGCCCUGCAUGAGGGCUGCCCGGCACCCAGUGGGUGACACAGGCAGAAUUGUCAUGGCACCUACUGCUGUGCCAGGAACUCAGCUAUAUCACCUCACCAGGUGCCACCAUGACCCUGUGAAGUCAGUAGAUACUCUGUCCCUAUUUAUAGGUGAGGAAAUGAAGGCCCAAAAGGCUAAGAGAUUUGCCCAAAAACACACAGGGAGUGAGACUCUACCCAGGACACCAAACCUCAGAGAUCUGAUUUCCUGAUGCCACAUGCCCAAGGUGCAGUCAGCCCACAGACCCACAAACGCUCAGGCCCACUCCCCACUUCCCCUCCCUGCCCCCAGCCAGGUGUUCCUGACACCAGCAUACAAGCUGUGGUUAUUUGUGAGGGAGAAGAAAGGAACUUCUGUGUACUGAGCUCCUGCCAUGAGCUGGUUAUCACGCCUAGUGCUAUGCAUACAUUGCCUCUGUGAGCCUCUCGUGAUCCCAUUACAUGGAUGAGCAGACUGAGGCCAGACAGGUGAAGUAAUGCGUCCCACCAGCUUCACUAAUAAGUGGCAGAAUGGGGCUUCCAGGCAGGCCCCAACACUCCGAGAUCACCUGCCAGGCUCCUGAGGCUUUCCUGCCCUCCCCCUCCAAGCCCCGAUGCCCCUGCUCAGGAAGCCGAUCGUGGCAGCGGAGGUGGACAGGAGAGAGUGAGCAGAGGCAGGCCAGGCCCGGCUGCAAGAGGGUGGGGGGAGGCUGCUGUGUUAAUUAAUUUUCUGCCUCGGUGGGUCUGCAGCCCCAGCCGGAGCCCGCACAGUUGCUAUCCAGUCUAUUAAAUAAUUCUAUCUGGAAAGAACCUGGCAUUUGAGGGACCAUGCUGAUGGGCCUUUAAAAUUUAAUUGCCGUUCUAAAUGAGAUUAGACAUGGGGAGGCGGGCGGGGUGAGCCCAGAUGAAACCAUGAUUGUGUUUGAGAAGGCAGGAGGGGAGAAGAAAACAAAAUCCUGUCAGCUCCUCUCAGCCCUGGCAUUGCACACCUCCCUGACCACCUAGGGUGGGCGGGAACCCAGGCCUGAGUCCCCCAAACCUCCCCACACCUGGUAGAGCUUUGGGUCCCCUGUGGGCCCAGGUCCCAGCAGUCUCUCACCUUGGGGUGCCAUCCCACCUUCACCAACUAAAACUCCUCAUCCUUCCAGGCCUCACCAAAAGCCACAGCUCUAAGGAAACCCUCCCAGGCCCCCAGCAAUGCCAGUGCCCCUCCUUAGCAGGGUGUGCCCCUGCAAGGAGAGACAAAGGUCCCUUUUGGGUUCUGAGGAAUGUGAUGUCCACUGGAUAAUAACGUGGUUGGAUCAUAUUUUGAGACCUUAAAAGAUCUUUUUUAAAAAUGUGCCUGAAUGUCUCUUUCCUGUUUCUUUCAGCUAAGUGGGUAGCCAGCUCCAGGCUCCCCUGCCUUGGGGACCAGGGCCUGAUGCUGGCCUGCUCAGGCAGCUCCCGAGCCCACGCUGUCUUCUCCCCUCUCUGUGGCCUCUGCCCUGGGUUUCCUCUUGCGUCAUUGAGAUAUGGAUGCUUCCACUUGCAUGUGGCUUUCCCUCAAAUCAGCUAUCAGAUCUGUACACAGCCCAGAACUCGGGCACCCCCAAACAUCAUGGCCCACCAGCCACCCCCGCUCUCUCCCUGAGCCCUUUUCUCUAUUUUCUCAUUCAAGCCUCCAUGCUUCCUUGCUUAAAAUAAAAUCACCCGUUUCUCAGGAAAUCAUCCCUGCAAAGCAUACACAGCUUCGAGCCUCUGAGCUUUUCUUGAUUCCACAAACAUUGGCUGGGUGCCUACUGUGUGCCAGUCAUGGGGCUAGGGACAGCAGACGUGGGAAUGAACAAGACAGCUCCUUGUGGAGCUGACAUUCUGGUGCAGAAAACAAACUACUCUAGAAAAGCUGUAAACAAGAUCAUCGCAGAAAAUGCGAGGUGCCAUGGGAAAAAGAGAAUCCAAGUGACAGAAUGGGGGGGUGGUGACAGCAUCAGGGUGGUUACACUGGAUGAGGUGGUCAAGGGAGGCUGUCUGGGGAGGUGACACCUGAGGUGUGAUCUGAGGCUAAGAAGCAGCCCACUGUGCAAACUCUGCAGGAAAGAAGCUCUGGGAGGACUGAGUAGGUGCAAAGGCCCUGGGGUGGGUGGCCGCUUGGGGGUUGGGGCAGCAGACCUAAGACCAGCGUUGCUCAAGGGUAGGGAGAGGAGUGAAUGAAAUGAGAUAAUGCUGAUGUUUUGACUCCCAAACUUUGGCUUAUCAGGGCCAUCGCCAGGGCCUGUUUGGAGAGGGGGGCCUUGGGUCUCCCUGGUGAGGCCAAGUGGGUUAUUUUGGUAUAGGGUCAACGUCCAUAGGGGCAGCCACAUGUGAUAGAAAUGAGGCCAUAGGCAUCAUCGGACUGCACACACAGCACUGGCCGGCCGGCGGCCCAGAGGGAAGUCCAGCAGGGAGAUGGUGCAGAGCCCAGGGCAGCACAGCUUCUGCAUCUCUCGGCCAGACCCAUGGAACAGUAGUGGAGGCAUUUCCCCCCCGGGCAGAGACCUGAUCCUGUCCAGCGUCCCUUCAGCCCCAGCUGAGGACUCACAUCGUCUCACACCUGCUCUACCUGUGGCUCCCUGCUCCUGCCUCACUCCUGCUUUCACGUGACCUCCCAUGCACAGUGCCGCACAGGCCUUCAGGUAGGCUGCCACGCAUCCUCCAUCACCACCAUGCUUCUUCCCCACACUGCCCUCCUGGGGAAGAGCCAGCCAGGGGAUCCAGCUGCCCCAUUCACCCCUGCACCCACAGCAGAGGGUCAGGCUUGGGGCCCAGGGCCAGGCGUCCACCAUGGGUGGCAUCAUGAGGCGGCAUCCUGAGUGUAAUGAGAGGCAGGGGUUGCCAGCCCAGGUCCUGCACCCCACCCCACCUUGCUUAGGAAGAACCUGGGGGUGGCAGCCUCAGCCACUUCGCCAUGGGGGCAUCCCAGGAUGUUCAACAGUAAAACUCUUUUCUCAAAUGAAGUCUAAGCAGAAUCACAAUGUGUAAAACAGAUAAAAGUCAUCUUCUAUGAGUACAAACGCCUGAUAUGUUCACAUGUACACCACAUUCUUAUAAUAGGAGAGAACAUUAUAAUAAGAUUAGAUAAGAUGAGAACAAGGCUGUUUUGCUGACUAUGAGACAGACAUAAGGGAUUACUGGUGACAGUUUCCACCCUGCAUCCGGCUCAGCCUCCGAAUUGUUUCUGCCUUGUGUUGUGUUGUAUGCUAUUACUUAUUCAUACAGAUAAGGAAUUGUGAGUUAAAAGAGGGGUUGUUUUUCAAUAUUUUCCCUCCUUGCAAGACUCUUCAAAUAAAUACAGAUGUAGGAGAAUCUUUAGCCUCAGAUCCACCCAAAGCAACCUUUCUAGUGAUUUCAAGUGGUUUAAAAAUUGUAUAACAUAAUUGCCAGCCUGUAUUUGUUUUUAGAUACUAUAUCAUCAUAAAAAGUGGUAUUGAAAACAAACUUUUUUCCCCCCGAGACAGAGUCUUGCUCUGUUGCCCAGGUUGGAGUGCAGUGGCACGAUCUCAGCUCACUGCAAACUCCGCCUCCCGGGUUCAAGCGAUUCUCCUGCCUCAGCCUCCCGAGUAGCUGGGAUUACAGAUGCGUGCCGCCAUGCCCAGCUAAUUUUUGUAUUUUUGGUAGAGACAGGGUUUCACCAUGUUGGCCAACCUGGUCUCAAACUCCGGACCUCAAGUGAUCCGCCCACCUUGGCCUCCCAAAGUGCUGGGAUUACAGGUGUGAGCCACCACGCCUGGCCAAAAAUGAACUUUAGGUGAAACAUUUGUGGACUCUAAGUCCCUGCAGAGUUCCCCAGGGGUCUGCAAACAUGGUUUGAAAGCCACCAGCUUAGUGACCACUCUCACUUAGCCAUCCUUCCGCUUGGGGCCCAGGACCCCCUGAAACCCAGGUAAGUCCAUCUUUCCCAAAGACUCACGCAAGCGCAAAGUAGGAAAGGACCCCAUGGCCAUGUAGUCCAAGCCUACCUUCUGCAGAAUCUCCUCCAUAGCCCUUUGACAGCUAGCCCUUCAAGCUCUGUUUGAAUACCCAGAGUGACAGGGAACUCACCACCUCACCAUGAGGCUACCUGGUCUGGUCCAUUGUUGGACUGCUCUAGCUGUUAACUAUCUCUUCCUCUCUGAGUCUGUUUCCUCAUCUAUUGGAAUGAACAUAAUAAUAUUUAUCAAGCCAGACGGCCAUGAACAUCGAAUAGGAUGACAGAUACAAAGCCGCAAGACACUGAGUCAGCGCAUCUUAUGGGUUCGACAAUGUUUAGUUUCUUGUGCCCUUUCCUGCCCUCCAAAGCCCUCAUUUUGGAGGAGUAGACAGCUUUACGCUCGCACGGACAAGCACACAGGGUGAAAUGUGCUUUGUGUGCCUGGAGGGGGAUGGGGGAUACAGGCUUUUGGGGGAGGAUCCCACGGGAAGCCUGCCUGGAGAGGCUGCCCAUGAGAGAAACAGGGGCUGCGCUUUCAGCGAGCCUUGCCAACUUCACACCCCCAUGGCCCAUCCCUAUUCCUAGAUCCCACUCACUCCCGCCCCCCCACCACCAGCUUCGGAGCCUCAUCUGUCUUCCCUCCUGUCACCCAAGCUGGAGCGAAGUGGAGGAGGCAAGGGGAUUAAAUCCCAGGGCCGCUAGCGCCCCCACCAAGGAGCUGGUACUUCAUUACCUGCUUGCCCAGCUGUCUGCAGCCAUCGAUCGGCCCUGGCCUGAGUGACCUCGAUCGAUGGGCAGCAUGUUAUUUACUGGCUCCUAUCCCGAGCCAGCUGCAAAGAGGGGAAAGGGCUGGGCCAGAGUUCACAGCCCACAGCCCUUGUCUGAGGGCCUCAUUCCUGAGGCAGAGAAGUCAAGCCCACAACAAGCCCGAGGUGGGAAGGAAAGGAGGGUGGGUGGCAGGGAGCGCUCUAGCAGGAGUCAGGGUCCUGGGCCCAGCCCGGUGUGCAUGGCUGCAAGACCUUGGCUGAGGUCUCUGGGCCUUCCCUCUCGGGGCCCCAGUGCCCUCUAUGAAAGGAUCUGAGGGAACCUACCAGAUUCACCAACUCAGCAGCAUGCAGGGGAUGGAGGGAAAUGAAGAUGAGGCACGGGGCCAGGGUGGGGGCAGCACCUGUUCAAAGGGGAGCUUCCCAGGGUGGCUCAUGCCAGUCAUCCCAACACUUUGGGAGGCUGAGGUGGGAGGAUUUCUUGAGGCCAGGAUUGAAGACCAGCCUGGGCAGCAUAGUGACACCCUGUCUCUACCAAAAAUAUUAAAAUUGUUUUUGAAAAGGAGUGCUCCACCUCCACUUUCGCAGGUUCUCCCAGCAGGCACGAGAGCCCAGCGCUGCUCUCAGUCUCGGGACUUCUUUCCAAGCCAGCCCUUGUGAUGGGGAUCCGGGGAGUUCUAGGAAGGCAAACGCCCUGGACAGCGCUCAACCAAUGGAAGACAGAGUUGGUGGACAAGUGCCCCAGUCUCUUCCUUCCCAUGGUCACUUCAGAGGCGUGGCUUCCGGUUCUGCCGCCAGAAGGAACCCAGGUGCCACAGCAGUCCUGGCUCUGUCCCGAACCUUCCGCUCUUCCUGCUUCCUGUUCACUCCCCCACCUCCCUUGCUCCUGCCGCUGGGGCUCGCCUCCCAGACACACAAGUCUGUCCUCACCUUGGGCUCCGCCUUGGGGGAACCCAAGCCAGCUUGUGCAAGGGAAACUGCAAAUGCAGAUUUGGAUGGGAAAUCUGCCCGUUUUCAGUGGGGGCCCAACAAAACCAGUCUGAGAGCUGGUUUUGACACACAAGCCCUGGGUUUGCAACCAAAUACUCUCCAGUCCCUGCCGAGUCGGGCAUUCUGUUCAUGUCACUUCCCCAACAUUUAUUGAACACCUAGUGUAUUCACUGCACAGGGGGGCUGUGAGGAGGCUCAGCAACCAGCCAGCAGGGUAAACAAUGGAGAGAUGGUCCCACUGGUGUGCACACUCUUACAGAAAGGUGUCCACAGCGCCGGGGCAGGAGGAGCCAAGCUGCGGGGCUCUGGCUCAAUAGUAGGGUAGAUGGUCUAGAGAGGCUUCUUGGAGGAGACUGCAUUUGAAGUGGGCCCUGGCAGAGCAGAGGUCUUGGAGAGAGGGGUCCAGGAUUGCUGUCGGUCAUUGCCCCCUACCUCUCUGUGGCGCUGCCCCAAGCUCCUUUGGAAGGUCAGCCUGCUGAGGAGUACGUAAUCCCUAUGGCUUCAGCUGAUGGGAUCAAGGCAGGCACCUAAUCCAGGACAGCCAAUAACUAGUGAAGAGGCUGCCUUCCCCCAUAGCUUGACCUGGAAUCUGCUCAGGAGCUUGACCUGUCCACAGCACUGUGCAGGGAGCAUUCACCAGUGGAUGUGUGGAGGAGGGGCAGAGGAAGGACUCAGGGAGGCUGUGCAGGAUCAAAGCCAUGAGGCAGCACAUUCUAUGGGUCAUGAGUGAGCGGGAAGCUGGCUGGUGGCGAGAGGAGAGUGAAGCGCUUUCCAGAGGCAGUGGAGACCCACCUGUGUCCCUAGGGUGUUCAGAGAUAUGGAGGAUCUGUAUAUAGAAUAGGAUAAGAGACCAGAAAGCGUGCUGUGGCCAGAUUCCAGGAAGUACUCCGGUCAGAGAGGUGUGUGCCCUGGACAGAUCUGGCCCAGGGCAGAGGAGGGACUGGAGUGGGAGGAGGGUAGUGGCAGCAAGAUGUCCUGGGCCUGAGCCAGGUCAGGGGCACUGGAAAAGCAGGCUCAGGCCCUCUGCUCUGGGGACCACAUUGCCCAGGCAGAAUCGUAGCAGGUGUACAGGGGGUGGGGCAGAGAGAACAGGGGCUGCUGUUUCCAACUCGGGCAGCCAGGAGGACUGCAGGGCUACGGACCUAGGAGGAGAGGCUCGUUUGGGUUGGUUGGAUUCAGGCUGUGGUUUGAAGGUAAAACUGUCCCAGGCAGUUGGAAGUGCUAAACUGGAGCCCCGGAGAGAGGCUGGUAGUUCAAACCAAGCUAGGAGGCAUCCGUGUCGUGGGGACCCUGUGAGGAUUAGUUCUCCAAGAGAAGGUCCAGGCUAGUUGCCCCACCACCCCACAUUUACACUACGUGCCCAAGAAACAAACUCGCAACUCACCCUCACAGCAUCCUUGCAGCCAGAGAUGACUGUGUAACGUCCUUGGGCAGCUGAGCCGGCUUCUCAGCUCAGUUCCAGCUUCUCUCUCAGUUCCAGCAACUGACAAUCUCCUGUCAGUCACAUUUAGCUAUUAUAAGGACACCUCCUCCAGGGAGCCCCCUAGCUUGCCCUUUCACCUUCCUUCUGCCUUGUACAGACCCACAUUGACACUCACCCCCCUGCAAAUUUCAGCCAGACUUCUUGUUAGGCAAGAAAUAAAACGCCACUGUCUGUCAAGUCUUCUGACUUGCAGCUGCUCACUUUACCAGUGGAUUCAGCGGCCAAGGGUGGUCCCGGAGCAUUUGGACAGCAAGAAGGCGAGGCAUUCACAAAGGCAUUGGAGAGGUGGGGGUCUGGCAAGGUGGGUGGAGGCUGGGAAGCACUGCAUGGCUAAGUUGAGGGGGUCAAAGUAGGUCAGAACACUGCCAAGGGCAUGGCCCUGUGCAAGGGUAGGCCCUGGGCAAGAGAGGUCGGCAGUCACCGGAGACUCAUUAAAGUGUCUGGAGUGAGCAGUGGGAGCUGGAGGCCGUGCGGAGGAGGCAGGGAGGGUGGGAGGUGAGGCAGCAGAGGCUGUGAGUGUGGAGCCCUGGCUCCUAGAGCCGCAGGGGAGGUUGGAGAGAGGUGAGAGUGUGUAGAUUUGACACUGAGGCCUCGCUGGAUUCCUCCUGUCUGCUCCCUCUUGACGUGCAGAUUACUAUAACUCGGCUGGCCCCACCAUGAGAGGCAAGGAAUCCUACAACUGUGCCAGGCUUGUAUGAUGCCAGAUCUGGGGCCGAGAGCAACUUGGAAAGCACAUGGUCUGUCCCGCUUAUGCUCCAGCUGAAGGUGGAGGCCCCAGUGACUCAGUGAGGAAAAGGCCUGGCUCCUCUCCUGCCACUGAGAAUUUCUUCUCCUCCCGUGACCCUGCCCGUUCACACCAGCCCAGGCUAGCUGCAAACUAGAAAGGGAUGAAGCGUGGGGAAAGAGGGCCUUGGUGGGAGGAAGGCAGGACCUGUGCUGGCCCUGGUGUGAAGGCCUGGGGGCUGGACCGGGGGGUGGACAUAGUGUCGGUGGAUGGCCCCUUCCCUGAUUUCAGCCAGGAUGUCCUGCAGGCCUCUUUGCUAGAGGUCAGAGGGAGGGUCCCUGCUGAGGGCAUCUAAAUCUGACCACACUGGGUACAUGUGGACCUGGGCCCCCUCGUCUCAUUGGGUCCAUGAGUACAUGAAUACCUGGGUAUCUCUGCCUGGGGACAACAGCUCAAAUCACUGUUCAGAUGUCUGCACCGUCAGCUGCUCAUGGGUUUGUGGGGAUCUCCCUGCUAUUCUGCAGAUUCUUCAUGCCAGCUUCUCUCUCAGUUCCAGCAACUGACAAUCUCCUGUCAGUCACAUUUAGCUGUUAUAAGGACACCUCCUCCAGGGAGCCCCCAGCUUGCCCUUUCACCUCCCUUCUGCCUUGUACAGACCCACAUUGACACUCACCCACCUGCAAAUAGCUGUUUGUUGUUCCCACAUGUACUGGAUCAGUAGUUUUCCAACUUUUUGGUGUCAGGCAUCCGUUACACUCUUAAAAAUUAUUGAGGACCCCAAAGAGUGUUGGUUUAUGUGGGUUUAUCGAUAGUUGUCAUAGUUGAUAUUAAAACUGAGAAACUUUCAAAUAUGCAUUUAUCAAUUCAUUUAAAAUAAAACUAAUAAACUCAGUUCAUGUUAAUAUAAGUAACUUAUGUUUGUGGAAGAUAACAGUUUUCAAAAACAAAAGCGAGAAGAGCAGUAUUGCUUUACAGGUUUGCAAAUCUCCUACGUGUCUGACUUAAUGAAAGACAGCUGGACUCUGUUAUCUGCUUCUACAUUCAAUCUCCUGCAGUCUGUUGUUUGGGUGGAAGUAGAUAAAGAAAACCUGGCUUUGCUCAGACAUGGAGUUAGAACAGAGGAGAAUCCUACGGGCCUUUUCAGCUGUGGCGGACGUUCUUUGAUACUACACCAAGCCUCAUCAAGUUGUAGAUGCUUGAGGGUGACCCGCAGCCUGGAUCCUAAAAUCUCCUCAACAAACUUUUCAUAUUCUGCCAUGUUGAAAUCCAGCGGUCUGUCUUAUAUUCUGAAUGGAUCUUUACCCAAGCAUGACUUCAUAACACCAUGCAUGCAUUGAUCACUUGGAAGUCAAACUCUUUGAAACACUGGGAAGCUGUCAAGCUCAUAGCAGCAAAUAAAAGGUUUCCAAAAUUCUAAUUUUUGCUUGAAAGCUCAAAUUUCUGUCCUUGGCACCAAAUACUGUCAGUUGUUUUCCUUGAAGCAACAUGCUCACUUCAUUCAUUUCCGAGAAAACGUAUGCCAGAUAACCAAGACCGAAUGACUAUAGUUGGUCUACGGUUGCUUUUCUCAAGUAAAAAUGCUGUUCCACGGGGGUAAAAACGGCAAUUUCAGCUCACAGCUCAAACAACCUCAAAUGCUGUUCUUUUAGACAACCAGCGUUCUUCAGAAAUGCUUCACACGUGCUUCUCAUUUCUCUACACAUAAUACUAAAAAGAAGUGUACUCACGGAUAGAGAUUUAACGAAGUUAAUUAUUUUGAUUGUUUCAUCAAGAACAUUCGUAAUGAAACAGGCUUUUCUGUCUUGCCUGCAGGUGUGCGGUGGUGAAGACCGCCAUGGCUACUAGGAGUGUCUGGUGCCACCACCAAGACCCUUGCUAAGCCACAGCACUUUGAAGCAGGUAGCUUUUGCAGCAACUGUGGCAAAGAUGAACACAGUGAAAAUGGCAGACAGCAUCUUAGUGUUACUAAGAAAAAGUUUUGGCCAGGCACAGUGGCUCACGCCUGUAAUCCCAGCACUUUGGGAGGCUGAGGCAGGUGGAUCACAAGGUCAGGAGAUCGAGACCAUCCCGGUCAACAUGGUGAAACCCUGUCUCUAGUGAAAAUACAAAAAUUAGCUGGCCAUGGUGGUAUGUGCUUGUAAUCCCAGCUUCUCGGGAGGCUGAGGCAGGAGAAUCGCUGGAACCAGGGAGUUGGAUGCUGCAGUGAGCUGAGAUCACGCCACUGCACUCCAGCCUGGGUGACAGAGGGAGACAGUUUUGACCUUGAGGCCUUCUCCCUAAGAGGGUCUUGGGAAUCUCCAGAGGUCCUCAGAUUAUACCUUGAGAACUGGGUCUCCGAAGGCAAGGACCAUAUAAACUUGUCCUGUGUCCUGGGGCAGAGGCGAUGGCCAUCACACAUGUGUAGAAAAUGAGUCGACACUGCUGAGCGCAUGCACCCUCAGGACCACUCGGGAUGCAGGCGCUUUUGUAAUCACACCCAUUUCACAGGUGAGGGCACUGAAGCCCAAAGAGAGCAGCGCCUCACUCGACCAUGUCGCACUCCGUUAAAAACAGAAUCAUGUCAGCCUCCAGAAGUGAGGUGGGGAAAUGACUGUGCUCCGUAACCUCUCAAGUGCCCCUGGAGACAGGAGCAGCUGUCAGAGAAACAUGGACCCCAAGAGGGUAAGGGCUGGCCCAGGUCUGGAGCUCUGGUCUGUCAGGGUCCUGGACACCAGAGCUUUGGGAUCAGCUGGAGAAUGGCCCCAGUGCUCCUGGCCCUGUGUACCCAGUGACUGAACAGCCCCUGCUACCCCACCCCACCCCACCCCACCCAGAAAUGCCUCCCUUCCAAGCUCCUUCUCCUGGUCCUGGGACCCAGGCCCUGUGGUCCCAUUCCGGUUGGGCUGUGUGGCUCCCCUCCCUGGGCCACCUGGACAGUGGGGUGGUGGGUGGUGGCAUGGCUUCUCUCACCCCUGCCGCUCCCUCUGGCUGGACAGUGCUGGGCCCUCCAUGUUGUCCCAGGGCUCCCUGAGACAGCAAUUGCCUCUGGGAAGUGGCGGAGCAGGCUGACAGAAUCGGUUAACACACCACCGCCUCUCCGCUGUUUGCUGAGGCCCCUGGAGGCCCUGUGCUCAUUUUAUUCCCUCCCAGAAUCUCAGAAAAGUAAAUAACCACCCGAGCUGCUCUAGCCGGUAAACAGCCCAGAGUUCGCUCUCCUAAUUGCCACCCCGCCCCCAUGCCGGCUGCACCUGAGGGCUGACGGUUCAUCUGGAAUUCAUUUCCCUCCAUUCCCCUGCCACCCACUGCCCACCCACGCCCCUCCCCAAGUGCCAUCGGGGUGGUGGGGGAAAGGUGUCUGCAGGAGCUGCCCAGAGCACUAGGGCCAGAACCAUGCUGAGAGGUUCCAGAGGCCUGAGAGGGGCAGGGCCAAAGGCUCAGAAGGAGCUGGCAGGCCUGGGGGGGUGCAAUGUGGGGGGCAGAUGUGACCUAGAGCCAGCCGGGACCAGAGGACCCUCCGCCAAAGGGUGGCUUACACAGGAGCCACACCCCAUGCCAUUGCCCCUGGAUCUCCCCAUGUUCCCUCGAAGUGUGUCACUGGAGGUCACCUCCCCCAGCCUGCCCUGGGUGCCUCUGCCCUACUCUAAAGCUUCUCCUUGCUCAGCCCCCAAUCUCUGUCCCACCCUGCCCACCAGUGUCUGCACCCUCCUUGUUCUUACCUCCCAGUCCCCGUCCCCUGUGACACUUUUCCCACCUUUGGGUCCCUCUGAGGCAUGUCUACCAACAGAAGCACUAGCGGCUCAGACCAACUCCAUUUUGCUAAGGUCUGGGGUGGGGGUGCCAGGCACAGGGCCAGGUUAGGCCCUGCCCAACAGCCCAGGAAUGCAGGGAAGAGAGGCAGUCACAGUAUGACUGAGAAAGGGCUCAAUAUGCUCCUGUGCCCCAUACAUCAUCCUUCCCACUUACAGGUGAGGAAACCAAGGCCGGCAAAGCUAAGGGCCUCACCUGCAGUGAUGCAGCCAGUGAGUGCCUGAGCCAGAAUGGACUCUAGGUCUUAUGACUCUGGGAAGGACACAGCUGCAGAGCCUGGGACACUCUGGAGGGAGCCAGGCCUGGACUCCACCCUUGUCUGAGCUAUGUGGCCAUGGAAGUGUCUGCUAACACCUCCGAGCAUCGGUUUCUCUCUUGCGCUCUUGUUUGUUUGUUUUUUAGGACAGUCUUGCUCUGUCACCAGGCUGGAGUGCAGUGGCGAGAUCUUGACUCAUUGCAACCUCCAACUCCUGAGUUCAAGCGAGUCUCCUGCCUCAGCCUCCCGAGUAGCUGGGACUACAGGCAUGCACCACCACGCUUUUGCUCUGUUACCCAGGCUAGAGUGCAGUGGCCUGGUCGAGGCUCACUGCAGCCUCCACCUCCUCUGCUCAAGUGAUCCUCUCACCUCAGUCUCCUGAGUAGCUGGGACUACAGGUACACGCCACCAUGCCUGGUUAAUAUUUUGUAAUUUUUGUAGAGACAAGGUGUCACUACGCUGCCCAGGCUGGUCUCAAACUCCUGGGCUCAAGCAAUCCUCCUGCCUUGGCCUCCCACAGUACUGAAAUUACAGGCAUGUGCCACUGUACCCAGCCCCCUCAGUUUCUUCAUCUGUAAAAUGGGGACAAACACACCUUACCUCAGAGAGAUAUAAUGAGAGCAUCUGUCGCCUGAUAGGUAUUGAGAAAGCAGUAGCUCUAUCAUUGUUAUUACUAAAGUUAUUGUUGCCAGUCUAAUGACAGUCCCAAAUCCAGGGAUGGUUUUUAGGGAAUGGAUCUGCCAUACAAGCAGCCCCUCUGAUGGCCCCUGGGCCCCAGAAUGAAAGCUAUUAGCCAAGGCUCAGAAUCCUGCGACUUGGUUGGGGGCACAGAAAUGUGAUACCCAGGAUCUGAGGCACAAGGCCCAGAGGGCAGCUGUGAAAUCUGACAGCUGCACGUGAGGACGGCCUGGGGAGAUUAAGAUUGGUGCAUCAAUAUCGCUGGACAUCAGUGAGAGGCCCGGACAUCAGCGAGAGGCCUGGACAUCAGGAAGAGGCCUGGACAUCAGCAAGAGGCCCGGACAUCAGUGAGAGGCCCGGACAUCAGGAAGAGGCCUGGACAUCAGCGAGAGGCCCGGACAUCAGUGAGAGGCUGACCGCAGCCACGACAGCUCUGUUCCAAGCAAUGGCACGGAGGGAAGAUGAAGAAGGGCCAAGAGCACACCGGGUGUCUUUUAAGGAAUGUGUUCAGAAGCUGCCGCUUGGUGCAUCUAUUUACACUCCGCAGACCAGAACUUAAUCACAGAAGCACGCCAAGCCGCCUAGAAGACGGGGAAAUGUGGUUUUUACCUGAGCAGCUACCUUACAAAAGAUGGACCAUGGAUAGUUCCUUGGCAGAGAUUCUCCAGGAAGGGGCCAAGGGACGCUCUCUGAAGCAAUGAUAAUGUUUUAUAUCUUGAUAAAGUUUAGGCAAGGUGUGGUGGCUCAUGCCUGUAAUCCCAGCACUUUGGGAAGCUAAGGCAGGCGGAUCACUUGAGGUGAGUCCAAGACCAGCCUGGCCAACAUGGUGAAACCCCAUCUCUACUAAAAAUAUAAAAAUACAGGCAGGCACCUGUAAUCCCAGCUACUCUGGAGGCUGAAGCAGGAGAAUCGCUUGAACCCGGGAGGCAGAGGUUGCAGUGAGCUGAGAUUGAUCCAUUUGAGAUUGGUACAUUCUGCUUCAUGCAAAUAUCAUCUCUAAACAUCUCUAAACAAAUACAAAAAAGGAACUGGAAACAAACGUUGAGCUCUAGUUGACAGUGCACAUGCUGAAUGUUUAGGGGUUAAGUGCACGAAUGUCUGCAACUUACUUUGAAGUGCUUCGAAAAAUAAGAUGAAUGGGUGGACGGAGAUAUGUAGAAUAAAGAAUCUCGUGAACUGUUCGUUGUAGAAUUGUGAUGGACAGAUGAAUGUGUUCUCUGUUCAACCCUUUCAACUUUUCCAUUAUGUUCAGAAAUCUUCAUAAUAAAAUGUUUGUGGAAGAGGUGUCCCCUGCUUCCAUCCCAUCCUCUAGA